rnacentral:rRNA from 1 species
GAUGAACGCUGGCGGCGUGCCUAAUACAUGCAAGUCGAGCGAAGCGGGGACGGGUGAGUAACACGUGGGUAACCUCCUAUAAGACUGGGAUACCUUCGGGAAACCGGAGCUAUACCCGAUACUUACCAUUGGAUCUGCGCUGCAUUAGCUAGUGGGUAAGGUAACGGCCUACCAAGGCAACGAUGCAUAUCCGACCUGAGAGGGUGAUCGGCCACACUGGGACUGAGACACGGUCCAGACUCCUACGGGAGGCAGCAGUAGGGAAUCUUCCGCAAUGGGCGAAAGCCUGACGGAGCAACGCCGCGUGAGUGAUGAAGGUCUUCGGAUCGUAAAACUCUGUUAUUAGGGAGGCGGUACCUAAUCAGAAAGCCACGGCUAACUACGUGCCAGCAGCCGCGGUAAUAC